rnacentral:rRNA from 1 species
GACGAACGCUGGCGGCGUGCUUAACACAUGCAAGUCGAACGAAGAGCGAUGGACGCUUGCUUCUAUCAAUCUUAGUGGCGAACGGGUGAGUAACGCGUAAUCAACCUGCCCUUCAGAGGGGGACAACAGUUGGAAACGACUGCUAAUACCGCAUACGAUCUAAUCUCGGCAUCGAGGAUAGAUGAAAGGUGGCCUCUACAUGUAAGCUAUCACUGAAGGAGGGGAUUGCGUCUGAUUAGCUAGUUGGAGGGGUAACGGCCCACCAAGGCGAUGAUCAGUAGCCGGUCUGAGAGGAUGAACGGCCACAUUGGGACUGAGACACGGCCCAGACUCCUACGGGAGGCAGCAGGGGGGAAUCUUCCGCAAUGGACGAAAGUCUGACGGAGCAACGCCGCGGGAGUGAUGACGGCCUUCGGGUUGUAAAGCUCUGUUAAUCGGGACGAAAGGCCUUCUUGCGAAUAGGGAGAAGGAUUGACGGUACCGGAAUAGAAAGCCACGGCUAACUACGUG